rnacentral:rRNA from 1 species
AGAGUUUGAUCAUGGCUCAGAUUGAACGCUGGCGGCAUGCCUUACACAUGCAAGUCGAACGGUAACGCGGGGCAACCUGGCGACGAGUGGCGAACGGGUGAGUAACACAUCGGAACGUGCCCAGUAGUGGGGGAUAGCCCGGCGAAAGCCGGAUUAAUACCGCAUACGACCUAAGGGUGAAAGCAGGGGAUCGCAAGACCUUGCGCUAUUGGAGCGGCCGAUGUCAGAUUAGGUAGUUGGUGGGGUAAAAGCCUACCAAGCCGACGAUCUGUAGCUGGUCUGAGAGGACGACCAGCCACACUGAGACUGAGACACGGCCCAGACUCCUACGGGAGGCAGCAGUGGGGAAUUUUGGACAAUGGGCGCAAGCCUGAUCCAGCCAUGCCGCGUGCGGGAAGAAGGCCUUCGGGUUGUAAACCGCUUUUGUCAGGGAAGAAACGGUCUGGGUUAAUACCCUGGGCUAAUGACGGUACCUGAAGAAUAAGCACCGGCUAACUACGUG